rnacentral:rRNA from 1 species
GAUGAACGCUAGCUACAGGCUUAACACAUGCAAGUCGAGGGAAACGAUAUUGGAAGCUUGCUUCUGAUAGGCGUCGACCGGCGCACGGGUGAGUAACGCGUAUCCAACCUGCCCAUCACUUGGGGAUAACCUUGCGAAAGUAAGACUAAUACCCAAUGACGUCUCUAGAAGACAUCUGAAAGAGAUUAAAGAUUUAUCGGUGAUGGAUGGGGAUGCGUCUGAUUAGCUUGUUGGCGGGGUAACGGCCCACCAAGGCGACGAUCAGUAGGGGUUCUGAGAGGAAGGUCCCCCACAUUGGAACUGAGACACGGUCCAAACUCCUACGGGAGGCAGCAGUGAGGAAUAUUGGUCAAUGGACGAGAGUCUGAACCAGCCAAGUAGCGUGCAGGAUGACGGCCCUAUGGGUUGUAAACUGCUUUUAUAAGGGAAUAAAGUGAGUCUCGUGAGACUUUUUGCAUGUACCUUAUGAAUAAGGACCGGCUAA